UUCGGUGUGGUGCAACGGCUAGCAUACCUCGCUUUCACUGAUUUGUCGCGACGAUCCGAGGAGGUCGGGGUUCGAUUCCCCGCACCGAAG